UUUAUUCUAUGUACAUUUCAGUUUGAGAGGGAGGUGGUGGGGUAGGAGUUUAGUGGAAAGGUUAAGCACAUAGGAUCACAUGAUUUUUCUGGUGGAAAGAAUUUGAACACAAGGCUUUAAGAUUCUUGUGGUGGAUAUUUAUUUCUAAAUAGUGUUUCCUCCCAAAACACAUGUCAAGAUAAUUUUUAGCAUUUAUCUUUACAAGAUUUUGAGUUUCAAUUUUUUUCUCUCCCUCUCCUCUCCUCUUCUGAAAAUGAUAGGCAAUUUGAUAUGUUUGAUACAGCUUCCAUAGUACUCACAGUUGUGAAAGAAACAGAUCAAAAGGGGAAAAAAACCCACCAAAAAGAAUAUGAGAAAAAUAUGCUUCAAUCUAUAUUCAGAAUCUUAUCAGCUCUCCAUCAGGAUGUGAAAAGCAUUUUCCUUGGUGAAUCCUUUGUAUUGUUUUGGAUCACUAUGUUGAGAAGAACUGAAUUUGUUCAAUAUUUUCCAGGUUCUGCUCAUUUCACUUUGCAUCAGCUGGGACAAGUCUUUGCAGGGUUUUCUGAAAUCUGCCUUUCCAUCUUUUUUUAUUGCACAAGGGAAUGCCUUUACCUUCAAAUAGCACAGCUGGUUCAGCCAUUCCCCAAUGGAUGAGCAUCCCCUCCAUUUCCAAUAUUUUGAAAUUGGGAUAGUUCUUUAACCAUAUACCAGGGUGCCAAUAAGCACUCAGUACACUCUUAUUGAUUCGUUGCCUAAUCAGUUAUUUUAAUACAGGGUUGGUACUUUUGAAAAAUGAACAAAUGGGUGAAAGCAGACUAAAAGGGUAAUUUGGGAUUAGUGUCCUAGAGAGUAGGAUCGAUAGGGUUACUUUCACUGGCAGAUUACCAUGGGAAGAGUGGUCUUUCAGACAUACCCCAUAAUAAGCAAAGUUUGAGCUCUGAAUUGUGUGUUUUUUAAAAAUAUUGGUGAUAGGCUAUUCUCGUCCAUUCCCAUCCUCUCUUCUGGUCUCCUUGGGAUUUAUGUUAGUCAGGUCCAGGCACUUAAGUGGCGCAGGUGGCUUAAAUCUAGGCUCUAAACUGCACGAGGGGGAGUAGCCCUCCACCAGAAACCACCCUUGUACGCUCCACGGGGCUGCUCUCGCUUCCUUCCCGAGACCUUUUCUAAAGGCUCACAAUGCACUGGGUCUUCACCUACAGGGCCGGGGUCCUACUCCUGCUGCCUCCCUUGUCCCAGCCGGGCCCAUUCCUGUGGGGUCGGGGGAGGUUUGGCUCAUGCCGCAGCUGCUGUCGUUACUCAACAGAGCGGCCUCUUUCAAAACAGGACAUGUUGAGAAACUGAAUUUCCUCCAAGGGAAUAGCAGGGCAGUUCCUUCCUCCAACUGCUUUCUGGGAAGAAGAGGAGAAGCACGUGCCCGGGGACACCCAGACAUCCCCAGAACGCGCAGUCCCGUGAGGGUGCCCGGGCACCUAGGGGCCCCCAGUUCCUGCACAACAGCCAGCGGCGCCCCUCCCCCGCGGGCCUGGUUUCAUCCUGGGCGGAACUGAGCGCGAUGAGGGACAGUAGACAUAGCGAGGGAGCGGGCGCGCAGGGCCCCAGCGCUCCCGCCCCCUCCCCAGGCCGUCUCCUCCUCCUCCUCCUCCCCCUCCUCCCCCUCCUCGCUUCUGCUCAGUUCCGCAGCCUCCAUUUGGGAGACGGGCGCGGAUUUGCGAAGCUGGGGAAGUGACAUCUGCUGGUCGAUCCUGGAACUGCACGUCGACGCGAACCCUGCCCCCUUUCCCCCCUCCCCCAUGUCUGUGACGUCACGGAGAGUCAGAAUUUGCUGGGUGCCAGGACCCACUGAUUGCCUUGCUUUGGAUCUGUGUGCUCAGAGCUGUCCCUGAAAUGACCCAGCUUUGGGAAGUGGAAACCCGAGUCCAGCUGCUUCUGGUUGAAGAUGUGGCAGAGUGGAAAAAACAGUGGAUUGAGAAUCAGAGGAUGUGGUUUCAUAUUCCAUCUUUGUUGCUUGUGAUUUACAUGACCUCUCAGAGCCUCAGUUUCCUCAUCUAUAAAAGGAGGGGACUGGACUAAGUAAUCUUUGGUCCUCUUUCUAAUUCUAAAUCCUAUAGCUAACACUAGACCUUGUUGUUGACCCUUCAGCCUAGUGUUUUGGGGUUUGUUUGUCUUUACUUAGAUUAAAGACAUGCAUUGCUUUCAGCAAACCUAAUAUACUAAAAUCUAGAUUUUUAAAAAAGCUGAAAAUCAGGAACUUAUUGUAACAUUCCUUUCAUAUAAAGCUUUCUUAGUGCAUUGAACAUAAGUUUGUUAUAGGUACAAAAAUUUGAUCUAUACGCAGCUUUUUCAGAAAUAGUUUUACUGUGUAAACUGUAUACUAUCUAUAAUGCCUAAUGGCAAGACAAUGGAAUAUCAUUCCAACAUCUUUACUACGCCUCUGUGGGGUUUCAAUACUCCCUUAUCUUGUGUACUCCUUCUGGGCAAGUAUCUUGAAGGGCUGCCCAUCUACUUUUCUUAGGGAUAUGCUUCCUUCUCGAGUACUGUCCUCCAUUUGUCCUUUUUUGGUUUUAGAUAAUUCUUGAGUAAUAUCAGAGUGGAAUUAUACUAAAUCUGUCUUUUUAACACCAGAAUUAUUAAAGAUACUACUAGAUUUAGUAAAAAUGACAAUCCUUUCAGAAUAAACUUGUAGAUUUAAUUAAAUACCAAUUAAAACAACAAUAGCUUUCUCUUGAAUUGAUUUGUGAUUCCCAAAAAUAUGGACAUAUCUGAUUGUUCUUAAUGGAGUUCUUCUCCCUUAUGGCCUAAACUGCCCCAAAUGGUGAAUGAAAUAAGGGGGCUGCUCGGCUGUUCACUGAUGGAUGCUCCAAGAUGUUGGAAUCCAGGGGGUAUCUCUGAGCUCCUGGAUUCUGUCAGGAGGGAGGCACAAACUUGGAAAAGAAUAUGGAAGCAAACAGAUGGAGAACCACAUGGAAAGGGGUUUCCUGGUGUGCUGCUGAGCUUCAGUGAGCUGGCCACUGAGGUUUAGACUGAAGAGAGAUGAAGGAAAAAUUGACAGUUGGCUUACCCUGUCCACUCAAACACUGAGAAAUAGUAAUCCAACUGUUCAUAAAUUUUCCUUUCCCAUUCACCACUUUUUAAAAACUAAUUUUAAUCAUCAAUUUUACUAAUUGAUUUUCCUUGCCUUUAAUUAAAUGCUUUUGCAACCAUGUACCUGCUUCAUCUUUAAAUAAGAUAGCAUUGUACCGAUGGAAGCUUACACUGAUUUGCAAAACUGAUUGCCCAAAAUUGUUCAUACCAAUCUUGGCAAAAGCAGGGGCUCCGCAGCCAUAGUUUCCAGGGAAAAGGUUUUCUACUUCUAUGUGUACAGACAGUAACCCAUGUAUACUUUUUCAUUUUGCCAGAAUCUUGUUCUCCUACAGGUAAAUCCUUGACAGAGGAACAUCCCAAAGGAGGAGGGGCCUUUCUUUAGACUCUUACCAGUGUAGUUUUAGGCCUUCAUCUAUUUCCUUUGAUGCACCUAACGACAUUUUCUCAUCAUUUUUCCUUGAUAAUAUCCCUUCUAUACCACUUCUUAUACAUGGGUUAUUACUGGAAAUAGUUACUUGCACUUUUCAUGAAUCAUUCUACUGCCCUCUGGGUCACCUACUAUGUUGAUUUUUCAGAGACUGCUAUUUUGUUAAUUGAAGCCAUACAGUAUUGUUAGGAAUAUAUUUGUGUUUAAAAAAAAAAAAAUGUGUCUUUGUGCUGGGGACCAGCAUGGGAUCAUCAAAAUCUGGCACAAUUUCCCAAAUGCAAUCUAGCCUGCUUUUUAAAAUUUCCUCUUAUUCAAUUCUAAGCAUAAUUAAUGAUCUCUUGCAGCGCCUAUUCCACAUAUAUGUACUAAUGUGCUAACUCAAUAGACUGGCUAUUCAACUGCCUGUCACAGAUUGGACAACCUGUAUUUUUAUCCACUUACUUUUUCCCUUAUGGAUUAUUAUGUCAAUCUCUUUUGACCUUAAUUCUCAUUAAGGAGAUCUUAUAAGUCCUUGGUCUCGUUGCAAUCAGCACAGAGAUCAUCUACAGACAAGAACCUUACCAUUUGGGAGGAAAUCAUUUUCCUUUUGGAUCCUGGGCAGAGCAUCCUUCUUGACGAUGGCUAAUAAUAUAGAAGAGUACUACUUUUCAUUUGUGAUUUUUCUCCUAUGUCUGAUAAUGCUUCCUCUCUCCCCAUAUCUCCUCUUCCAAAUUUUCUUAUCUUUUGGAAGGAUUGCCAUCCUUCUAGCUUCCCAGGAUGAUAAUCUCCACAUUAUGUUCUACUUCUCACUCUCUUAUCCCACAUAUAUAAUUAGUUGCCAGAUGUGUACUGUUUCUACCCAUGUCCACAAUAUCUUUCAUAUCUAACUCUUCUUGACUUUUAGAACCUGGGAUGCUCCUAGGAUAUUAAUGGCCCCCAGGUCACACUUUUUUUUGGGGGGGUCCUCUGUUUAAAUAAUUUGAGAUAUAUACAUAUAUAUUUAUAUUUUACAAAAUUCAUGGGUCUAUAUGAAGCAUAAUAAUUUUUAAAUGAAGAUUUAGGAGAAUUAGCUUAGAAUUUUUACUGUUUUAAGUAUGCUGAGGUGUAUAUAGCAGAAAUGACAUUAAAAUUUUACUAUUACAGUCAACUUGACCAUUCUAGUUAUAGUUCCAUGCAGUUGCUGACCACUGUCAGUAAAAGAGCGAAUGAAACCUCCGAUCUGUCCUCCCAGCUAUUCAAAACAAAUUGCAGAAAAUUCCAGAAAUUCCAAUAAAAAACGGUGGCUGCUCACCUCAUUUCUGUUGACCACAGUCCCUUAAUACACCACAAAUAUCCAUAACUUCAUUUUCAUAAAGUGUUUUAAAGACCAUUUUAAAGCUGAUCCCCUUAAGUUAGAAUGUAGCAAAUAGCCUGGUAUAUCACUCUUCAAUAACACCUAUUCUAAGAAAAACUGAAUAUAUUACUCUUUUUGUAAUAGCAUGUAUCGAAGAAUUUUGACUUUGUAAAAUAGUAAAUAAAAACUUUAACAGAGAUUGAAACUCAGUUUUGGUACAUUUCUUGUGGGGGAAAAAAGCCUUUCCUAAAAAAUCCUAGUAAUGACAUUUUCAUGAAAUAGAUAAUUUGUAAGAUCACUUUUAUUCUAUUUUAUGCUAAAGUUUAGUUACUUUUAAGUAUUGCUUGUUGUAUUGGUGGUCCAAAUAAACCAGAAAAUAGAUUGUUAAUACUGUCUUUAUAA